rnacentral:lncRNA from 1 species
CCUUGGGUUUUUGUAAAACUUUUAUGAGUAACAAAGAUUCUUCCCAAGUCUUAUGAUUUAUGAGACUAGCAUGGCUAAGCAUUACUAUUAAACUUGCACAUAUGACCUAAAUUUAUCUAUGACCACUACAUGGUUAGAAAGGAGGGGUAUUAAGAAUGUCAAAGGAGGGUGUCAAUAUCAAGCACAUAAAGCAUAGCUAAACCCUAGCUACUUUACUUAGCAUAAGAAUGUGGAAGGGGUGUCAAUAUCAAGCACAUAGGGCAUAGAUAAACCCUAGCUAAUUUACUUAAUAUAGCAAUACUAGUAAAUAAUACUUUAUGCAGGAAAAAUAAUUCUAGGUGUAAUGCAAAUAUGGGUUCAACAUGAUCAAAGUAGGUUGCUUGCCUUGCUCAACAAAGUCUUCAAUGGUUCUGGUCAUUCCUCGAGCGUCCUUGGAUCUUUCAAUUUUACGUAAGAUAAUGAUUUCUACUGAUUGGAAAAAUAAAAUUAACACACAAUCAAUAAACAACAUGUGCAAAAUGCUCCAAAAUUUACGGAAGUAGUAUCAUUGGAAAGAGGGAAAUUUUAGAUGAAUUUUGGAAUUACCCUGGAUUUUAGAAAAAGAGAAAUAGCAUUGUGGGCCAGAAUGGGUCUGCCUGAUUAAACAGUACUGCACUAGGGAAGGGGGGUCGACGUCGAAGUCAUUAAGGAGAAAUACGCCUUCAGUUACGCGCCGAUUUAAACCUGCAUUGGGGCGAUCACACAAGCCAGACAUGAGCAGCAAAACCAGGAUAACCAAACAAUAUAUAAAGUUCGCAAUCAGGCAAUAACAAAUAAGA